UGUGGACUAGAUGUUCAACUGCAGAACCAUCCAUCAUAUCAACACAAAGUCAGGAAGAAGCAGUACUUGAAGAAGCAGAUUACAAUGUUUUCUCCUCGUGAAGCACUAGAUAGGCUUGUUCUAUUUAUUUUUCCUGUUCUGGAGUAUUCCAGCACCUGAAUGCUUGACUACAACAUGUUGUAGGUUGCUUGAAUCUGUAUAAAAUACAUAUGUGAUGGAAAUUGGUAGAAUGUGUGUUCUGAGAUAUUUCCAUAAUAUUCAGCUAAUUCAUGGUAACUUGAUUCA